rnacentral:lncRNA from 1 species
UUAACCUUACUCAAAAAUUUCUUAAUGGCAGCCUCUAGGCACUUGGAAAAAUAUAAUGCCUCAAGAUUGAAUAGAAAUCGUCCAAAUUUUUAAAGGUAAAAUCUAAGUGUUAGAAAACUGAAAUUUUUGUUUGAAAACAGUUAUCUAGUGAUUCUAAAGUGGUUACCAAAAUUCCAUAUUGAAAAAUCUUCCAAAGUAGCUCAUUUGAUUGAGUGAGUAGAAGUAAACUUAGCAUUGACAUAUUGAAUGGUUAUGAAUAAUUGUGAUCGAAAGGUAAAUGAUCUCAUUGUAUACAUUCUCUUAAAAUUAUUAUAAGAAUUGAUGGCUCUUAAAAUUAUUAUAAGGAUUGAUAGAUUAUAGGAAGAAUGUACAUUGUUGCAUCAUUCUUGAGUGGAGCGCUUAGACCAUCAUGGAGACCGCUAGAUUAGGUUAUUUGAGGUAUCCAUAACACAUUUGAAAAUUUGCAGUUUUGGUGUGUGAUGAGCUUGGCAGUCAAACGUCUACUGUAUGAAACUACGGUAAACUAUCUUUUUUUUUGUUUAGGUAGAUCAGUGGGGAUUAUAAGCCCCGGCUUGUUUUGAAAAUAGUAGAAAUUUUUUAAAUGCGUUAAUGAGAAUGGAGGUUGUGAUUUUUAAAUGGGGCGCAGUGAUACUACCAUCACGACCUGAGCCUCCCUUUCAACGGGCAAACCACUUAAGCAGUAAAUGUGGAAAACAACGUUAAAAUAAAUGUAUAUACUGAUUCAAACGGGAUUUUACUAAUUAUUAAUGAUGAACAUUAUCUUUAGAUCACUUUUAGUGCUUAUCAUGUGUAAGCCUUCUUAUAUAGCAUAUAUUAUAUAUUUGUUUGAAGGAAAAGGUUUUUAAGUACGGAAAAAGUUUGACCCUAAACAAUGAAAUUAAGUCGCACUUCAAAAUUUUACUAAAGAAGGAUGUUUUGAUGCUAAAAACCCCUCAAUUUGAUCAUCUCGAUCUCAAGAUGCACGGACAUGAGAAAAAAUAGAUUUCACGUUUUGAUAAUAGUGCAUCUUAUAAUGCAUUUUUUAGACUAUUUCAAGAUUUUCAGGUGAUCAUAAAUCUGCCCAAUCUACACUAUUUUUUAAUCUUUAAAUUUUAUGUUUAGAGAUGAAAAUAAAUUCAGGCUAUCAUAUAGAUUUCUAAUACAAAAUAUUUCAGCACAAUUUGAAGGUGUGUGUUACUCUGAUUGUUAAAACCUAAGCCUUGUACAAACCACUCUCUAAAAACUUUUAAGGUGAAGGCUUUAGAUUCAUUUUUGUCCUAAGAAUACCAAUAGCCCUAUAUUGUAUACCAAGAACUAGAGGUAACCUAUUUUCCCCAAAAAAAAAAAAAAAAAAAAACUAGGGUUAACCUUUUUACCACUCAAACAAGAGAUUGAGUGGUAACCAAACAUUUGCCUAAGACAAAUUACACCCCACCAUUCCAUUCAUUAUAUAUGGGAAUAAUUAAAAUUUUCAGUUACAAAAGUGUGAUUUUUAAUAUUAUUAAAACUAUUGGAGUUUCACUUCUAGGGGUGAACUAUCAAUGAAACAUUUCUAGUUCUCCCAGGAGAGUAUGAGGAAAUUAAGGGACAUGUCAUUGAGUUGGGGUCUCUUAAAACAUUGCAAAGAAGCUGAUGCUCUAGGAGUAAUCAUUAGGUUGGAACAACCUUGCUUUGACCAUGGACUAUCCAAAUGAAGUUUGGCGCACAGGAUAUUCUCAUCCGAAUAUUGUCGAGAUUGGCUGUAAAGAAAGAGAUCUUUCAAAUUUUUAGAGAGAGAAACUAUUUGAAAUUUUAAAUUUUAGAGAGAAAAAUUCUAUUAAAAUUUUAGAGAAAAAAAAUAUUUUAAAUUUUUUUAGCGAGAUAAAUUAUCUUAAAAUUUUUAGAAAGAGAAAUUAUACCAAAUUUUAAAACUGAAUGCUUGUACACAAACUACAUAAUUAACCACGGAUUAGGCAAUUGUAUCAAUGAUUAUGGACUAAGAUAGUUGUGUCGUUUUUUUUAGGAGACCUGAUGGGAAAGUUGAUGUUGCAUGAACUCUUGAUAUGUGGGGAAGAUGCAUUCCUUGAGGCAACUGAUGCAUUCCCAUUCCCUGAGGCAACAGAUGAGAGCAGGAUUUGGUGGUCAGGGCUUCUUUGGCUGUAACUUGCGGAAUGAAAGCGAGACAAGGAUGGACG